AACGCGAAGAACCUUACCCGGGCUUGAACUACAGAUGGUAAGUCCCAAGAAACUGGGGCUGACCCGCAAGGGAGUCUGCAGAGGUGCUGCAUGGUUGUCGUCAGCUCGUGUCGUGAGAUGUUGGGUUAAGUCCCGCAACGAGCGCAACCCCUAUCUCAUGUUGCUAAUCCCGUAAGGGAUGCACUCUUGAGAAACUGCCUUCGAUAAGAAGGAGGAAGGUGGGGACGACGUCAAAUCCUCAUGGCCCUUAUGUCCGGGGCUACACACGUGUUACAAUGGCCGGUACAAUGGGAAGCAAUGCCGCAAGGUGGAGCCAAACCCACAAAGCCGGCCCCAGUUCAGAUUGUGGGCUGAAACUCGCCCACAUGAAGGCGGAAUCGCUAGUAAUCGCUGAUCAGCAGGCAGCGGUGAAUACGUUCCCGGGCCUUGUA
rnacentral:rRNA from 1 species